rnacentral:rRNA from 1 species
UCAAUGUAGUACAUGUGGGCAACUAUAUGUGUUACUUUCGGCCUAGCGUACAAGUCCCAUUGACUUGGGCCUAUUCUUAAUUGAGAUGUCUACGGGUUUGGGGCAACUUGGAUCCGUGGAUGAGCCAUAGAGGGUGAAAGUCCCUUAAUGCGCAGGUAUUGACACUACGAACUGGAGCGGUGGCGUUUGGUAAAACAAGCGUUGCGAUUUGUUAGAGUCGGGUUGCUUGAGAGUGCAACCUAAAGAGCGAGGUAAACUGCUCGUAAGGCUAUUAUUAAUACGGCUACGACACCGAUAGCAAACAAGUACCGUGAGGGAAAGUUGCAAAGUACUUUGAAGAGAGAGUUAAACAGGGCGUGAAACCGCUAGCUGGUAAACGAGUGGAGCCACGAAGUCGUUUCGUAGAAUACGAGGCGCAAAUUCAGCUGGGGUACCGUAAAAAGUGCUCUAGCGUAUUUUUGCUUGUCUCGCUACUGUAAGCGUACACUGCAACCAAUUAGACGGCCAAUUGUGGAUACAGUUUUGCAAGUCUUACAGGGAAACUUGUUGCUUGUCAAACGUAAAGAUUUGUGUAUUUACUGUAGGUAGCUUGAAUAGAUUCUUGUAGUCUAUUUGAGUGUAUGACAUUUUUGUAAAUGCGUGAACUACAAUUGGGUACUGAUUGGCAAAAUGAAAAUCGAAUCGCAAGAUUCGUUUAAUCAUAGAAAGCGGUUAGCAUUGUAUUUGGGUACAAUUGUACGUUGCUAGUAUUCAAGCUUGAUAUUUUUGAAUUCAGGCACGUAUAUUAUCAAUAGGCUUGCUUGUUGAUAUAUGCGCUGUUUCCUGUCUAAUCGGAUAUUAACUUUGCUGGCGAUUUGAUGCAAUUGCUUCGAUAGCACUGAAUGCAAUAGUUAAUUUGC